rnacentral:rRNA from 1 species
CGUAGGGCGCGAGCGUUGUCCGGAUUUAUUGGGCGUAAAGAGCUCGUAGGCGGCUUGUCGCGUCGACUGUGAAAACCCAUGGCUUAACUGUGGGCUUGCAGCCGAUACGGGCAGGCUAGAGUUCGGUAGGGGAGACUGGAAUUCCUGGUGUAGCGGUGAAAUGCGCAGAUAUCAGGAGGAACACCGGUGGCGAAGGCGGGUCUCUGGGCCGAUACUGACGCUGAGGAGCGAAAGCGUGGGGAGCGAACAGGAUUAGAUACCCUGGUAGUCCACGCUGUAAACGUUGGGCGCUAGGUGUGGGGGGCCUCUCCGGUCCUCUGUGCCGCAGCUAACGCAUUAAGCGCCCCGCCUGGGGAGUACGGCCGCAAGGCUA